rnacentral:rRNA from 1 species
UACGUAGGGUGCGAGCGUUGUCCGGAAUUACUGGGCGUAAAGAGCUCGUAGGUGGUUUGUCGCGUUGUCCGUGAAAACUCACAACUCAAUUGUGGGCGUGCGGGCGAUACGGGCAGACUGGAGUACUGCAGGGGAGACUGGAAUUCCUGGUAUAGCGGUGGAAUGCGCAGAUAUCAGGAGGAACACCGGUGGCGAAGGCGGGUCUCUGGGCAGUAACUGACGCUGAGGAGCGAAAGCGUGGGGAGCGAACAGG